GCAAACUUGGUCAUUUAGAGGAAGUAAAAGUCGUAACAAGGUUUCUGUAGGUGAACCUGCGGAAGGAUCAUUAAAGAUUUAGUAAUCUUACUCAUCUCGUGUGCAGCCUUACCAAGUCUGAUAUCCUUGGAGAGAUCAAUCUUGUUUGAGGCUCUCUAAGGAGGUUAUCACGAUCAAUGUAUCUUUUCUUUACUCUUCUGUGUCUAAAUUAACAAAUUUAAUUUGAAACAACUUUCAACAACGGAUCUCUUGGCUCUCGCAUCGAUGAAGAACGCAGC
rnacentral:misc_RNA from 1 species